ensembl:lncRNA
GCACAGUACAAUACCAGACAAUACCACACAGUGUGGUGAUUUAGGGGCAAGAUAAGGCAGUGGAAGAAAAGAGCCCCCGGAAUGAGAUGUGUGUUGCUGUGGUCAUGGUGUCUCUUUACAGCAAUAAAACUCUAAGACAGAUGGGAAGGAAGCCAUGCCCUGCUUCCCUGAACCCAUGAGCAGGAGCCACCUGUCUCACUGCAGAAAGCCCAGCAUCUAAGGCCUUGGACAAAGCACAGCAGAGAACCAUGGUGCUCCUGUUGAGGCAACAAAUGACCUACCAGCACUUGGAGAAUCAACUAGAGGAAGACAGCUGACUCUGAGACAGCUUCCUUGCAGAGCCCUUCCCAGCACUUCAUCUAUGUGUUUUUUCUGUUGCUAAUUUUUCAGUGAAGUUGGAAUUUUACUCCCCUUCCCCCAUUCAGCUGUUUCUCCUAGAUGAGCUUGAGAUCAGCAUUCCAGCCUGCUUCUUACCUACACAUACACCUGGCCUUCCCUACUGUGAGGGAUGCUUUCCAGAGGCAGGAAGAGUGUUCCUCUCAGCCCCUGACUCCAAGAACAUGAUGCAAGGCCACUUGUCCCUACAGAUGGCUUUUUAAAUCAGCCUUUCCUAAACAACAACAACAACAACAACAAAAUGGAGCUCUAAGAAGAUAAAUUGGCAGUGGUAUCACUUGUGAUGUUGCUUGUUGACUGGGUUAUUUCAAACCAACCCCCCAUCCAGCCCUAUAGAUUCUCCCUGCUUCAAGACAAGGCUGAAUUCACCCCAGUGUGGUGCAGCAUCCCCAAGAAGGCCCAGAUGCCAUCCUGUAUCAGCUCCAAUGCUAGUCACAACUCACAGUAAAGGGUCCUCCUUGGGUGUCCUGUAAUUGCAGCUUUGGAACUGGAACAUUACCUGUGAUGACGGUGUUCCCAUGGAAGGGAGGCUGCCACAGCCCAAAAUUGUGCCCAAAUGUAGGAGGCAGUUGGCACUUUCAUGUGCUUAAAGAAUUUCUGUCCUGCUUUCAGAAGUGGCUUUCAAAUAGGUGUUUGGGGGUAGAUUGUUUCAAAGUAUAUACAGUAUAUAUCGUAUUUUACCCCUUUUUAAUUGCACAACUCAGUAACAUUAAGUCCAUUGACAUUGUUGUGUAACGAUCAUCUAUCUCUAGAGUUUCAUCAUGCUAGACUGAAACUCUACACUGAUAGACAUGAAUUCCCUAUGUAACACCCUCUACAACUACCCCUAGGUAACUACCAUCUAUUUUUCUGUCUCUAUGAGUUUUAUUGCUAGGUGAACCUCACAUAAAUAAUAUCAACCUUUGGGGUUUUCCUCAAUGAGUGUAACUAUUUUAAAACCCUUUCACACUGUAGCAUGGGUCAGAAUAAUUACUUCUAAUGAAUGAAUACUAGCCCAUGGUUUAGAUAGACCACAUGUUCUUAACCUAUUUGUCUAUCCAUGGACACUCAGAUGGCAUCUCCAUGGAGGCUGUGAAUUCGGCAGCACAUCCUUCAGUGCUCACUUUCCAAUUCUCUGGGUGUGCGUCUAGAAUUGGGCACUACUCGCUCAUUUG